CCCCUAGACGUUCUGGGCUGCACGCGCGCUACAAUAAUACGCACAGCGAGUAUCACCGAGCUCGAAAGGGCAAGGUAAACAAUAGAAAAGGUACUGUAAUGGGUAUAGAUCCUUGUAAUUAUUGAUCUUCAACGAGGAAUUCCUAGUAAGUAUGUGUCAUCAUCACGCACUGAUUACGUCCCUGCCCUUUGUACACACCGCCCGUCGCUCCUACCGAUUGGGUGAGCCGAUGAAACUCUCGGAUGUAGGCUAUUCAUAGCCCGCAGAAGAGAUUUGAAUCGUAGCGCUUAGAGGAAGGAGAAGUCGUAACA
rnacentral:rRNA from 1 species